GAGAAGAACGUAGUGAAAUGCGAUAAGUAAUGUGAAUUGCAGAAUUCAGUGAAUCAUCGAAUCUUUGAACGCACAUUGCGCCCGCCAGUAUUCUGGCGGGCAUGCCUGUCCGAGCGUCAUUUCAACCCUCGAACCCCUCCGGGGGGUCGGCGUUGGGGAUCGGCCCUCCCUUAGCGGGUGGCCGUCUCCGAAAUACAGUGGCGGUCUCGCCGCAGCCUCUCCUGCGCAGUAGUUUGCACACUCGCAUCGGGAGCGCGGCGCGUCCACAGCCGUUAAACACCCAACUUCUGAAAUGUUGACCUCGGAUCAGGUAGGAAUACCCGCUGAACUUAAGCAUAUCAAUAAGCGGAGGA
rnacentral:misc_RNA from 1 species